CUACGGGGGGCUGCAGUGAGGAAUAUUGCGCAAUGGGGGAAACCCUGACGCAGCGACGCCGCGUGGAUGAUGAAGGCCUUCGGGUCGUAAAAUCCUGUCAGAAGGAAAGAAGUGUAUGGUAGCUAAUAUCUGCCAUACUUGACGGUACCUUCAAAGGAAGCACCGGCUAACUCCGUGCCAGCAGCCGCGGUAAUACGGAGGGUGCAAGCGUUGUUCGGAAUUACUGGGCGUAAAGCGCGCGUAGGCGGUUUUAUAAGUCAGAUGUGAAAGUCCACGGCUCAACCAUGGAAGUGCAUUUGAAACUGUAAGACUUGAGUAUUGGAGGGGGGAGUGGAAUUCCCGGUGUAGAGGUGAAAUUCGUAGAUAUCGGGAGGAAUACCGGUGGCGAAGGCGACUAUCUGGCCAAAUACUGACGCUGAGGUGCGAAAGCGUGGGGAGCAAGCAGGAUUAGAUACCCUAGUAGUC
rnacentral:rRNA from 1 species